GUGGAAGUUCACUCCGAAUUCUGAUUUGGCGAUUCGAUUUCGCACCUCGGAAUAUGAUUUCAUGUUUUUAUGCAUUGGGGUUUGGCUUCAUCUCUGCCUGCUGCUGCAACUGUUGUCGUCAAAAGGAGGCUGAACAUGACUUCAUUCACUGAAGGGAAGUGAAGUCAUCUUAAUGGAUACCUGAGUAAAUAAAGUCAGCCUCAACAUUUGACCCGUUCCACGAGGGCCAUAAAUCACCUCUGCAAUGCUCUGGUCAACUGUUACAGAAUGGAACGCACAGGAUCGUGGGAUAUCAAAGGCAGCGAAGGAUACAUCAGAUGAAGGCAUCUCAUACCGUUUUUACUGUGUUUUUUUUUGUUUUUUUUGGGGAUCAAAUUAAUGCAGUCUUGGUGAGCAUAAGACACUUCUUUCAGUGACAUUACAAAAUCUUACCGACCCCAAACAUAUAAAAAAUCAUCCAAUCUGUGGAAAAGAACAUCUCCAUAUUUUGUAUUAAAUAUGAAAUUCCAAUAGCAGCACCCAUCAGUGAGCAGUGUCAACUUUAAAAUAAAGAGAUGUGUGUUUUGUGCCCCCACCAAUU